UACAGAGGGGCAAGCGUUGUUCGGAAUUACUGGGCGUAAAGGGCGCGUAGGCGGCCCGCUAAGUCGAACGUGAAAUCCCCGAGCUCAACUCGGGAACUGCGUCCGAUACUGGUGGGCUUGAAUCCGGGAGAGGGAUGCGGAAUUCCAGGUGUGAGCGGUGGAAAUGCGUAGAUAUCUGGAGGAACACCGGUGGCGAAGGCGGCAUCCUGGACCGGCAUGACGCUGAGGCGCGAAAGCUAGGGGAGCAAACGGGGAUUAAGAAACCCUA
rnacentral:rRNA from 1 species